GAUGAACGCUGGCGGCGUGCCUAAUACAUGCAAGUCGAGCGAACGGACGAGAAGCUUGCUUCUCUGAUGUUAGCGGCGGACGGGUGAGUAACACGUGGAUAACCUACUUAUAAGACUGGGAUAACUUCGGGAAACCGGAGCUAAUACCGGAUAAUAUUUUGAACCGCAUGGUUCAAAAGUGAAGAAGGGUCUUCCGGUCACUAAUAGAUGGAUCCGCGCUGCAUUGGCUAGUUGGUAAGGUAACGGCUUACCAAGGCAACGAUGCAUAGCCGACCUGAGAGGGUGAUCGGCCACACUGGAACUGAGACACGGUCCAGACUCCUACGGGAGGCAGCAGUAGGGAAUCUUCCGCAAUGGGCGAAAGCCUGACGGAGCAACGCCGCGUGAGUGAUGAAGGUCUUCGGAUCGUAAAACUCUGUUAUUAGGGAAGAACAUAUGUGUAAGUAACUGUGCACAUCUUGACGGUACCUAAUCAGAAAGCCACGGCUAACUACGUG
rnacentral:rRNA from 1 species